GUUCUGCCUUUGGGGGUCAAGCCACAAAAAAAAAGAUCCUUCCAUCUUCUGCAUGAUAGCCCUUGAAUCCUUGAAAAGGACUUUCUUUCCCCCACCACUCCUCUUCUCUUUUCCAGUGUAAAUAUUCCCAGUUUCUCCAAUUAAUCCUCAUUGAAUGAUCUCAAGUCCUUUCACCAUCUAAGUGGCCUUUCUAGGACCUCUCUAGCUUCCCAAUGUCUUCUGACUUCAAUAAGUCUUCUUAGGACUUCUCUAGCUUAUCAAUGUCUUCUGACAUCAAUAAGUCCUUCUAGGAUCUCUCCAACUUUUCAAUGUCUUCUAACCCCUCUUUUUCACCCUUGAAUCCCUUGACCUCUUAUUGUAAUCUAACAUCCCUCACUUUCAAUAUGGUGCCAGCCUACUUCCUCUUCUGAUCAUGCAUGCCCUUGAUGUCCAAGGACAAUGACAUGAAGGUAUUGUUUGACAAAACUGUACUGUCUAAGGACUCUGGGAAAGAGAUUCUAUCACUGAUAUAGACAGAUCUAUUUAUUCGUUCCAUUGGGAGUAACGACUCUUGGGAGUUCCAGGUAUGCAAUCUCUGCUCCUUUAAGAACAUCAGUGACAUUGAUGAUGACCAGAUGAAGGCCCUUUCAGAGUCUCAGAGCUUUUCAAAUGCAGUAUAAAUUCUUCCUCAUUAUUCAUCUUACCCAUGAUGCUGCCUACAGUAGUCUUAGAACACUGGGUUGUGGUAUCCUUCUGUCUCCCUCCCUCUUCUAAUCAGGUGCUGGGAGGGAAAAAAAGAAAAACAAUUUUAAUGAGGUAGUUUUGAUCCUUUAUUUUGACUUGUAAACAUAUUUUGGCUGAGUUGCUGUCACUAGAGAAGAGAGAAGUCACUCCAGAUCUGUAAGUCUCUGCACCACAGCCCCUGAAGAUCCCUGGAAAAGCAGAUGAGUUUAGAUCAUUGAAGUCCAAUGGCAAGACAAAAGUCAUGAUGACUGGUGAUGGCCUGAGAUGCAGUGAAUGCCCUUGGAGUCUUCCAUGUCUGAUCAAGAUCUAAGCUCUCCACAGCCACCUUCCUGGUCUUUGGAACAAAUUGUUCUCAUCUGCCCAUUCCUCUAAGGCAAAGUCUUCUCACGCUUAGGACUUCCAGACUGACUCCAUUCCAUGUGCCGUCUGUUUGGACCACCACCUACCUCUUCUUCCUCCUCCCCACCAGAGUAACCUGGAUUCCACCCCUGGAUUCCUCAGCUCCAGUAGAGCUCCAGUGAUGGGAGAAACUCACCCUCGUCAGACAGCCCAUCCCAGAAACAGGCCCUGGAACAACAGUCAUCCCAGCCAUGCUAAAAAUGGCACUGUUUACAGAUCAUCAGCCAUCAUUUCUCCUGACUGACUGAGGGCUGGGAGCCAGAAGCACAACCCAACUCAUCCUUCUUCAUUUUCCCAACUCAGCAGGGAUUUCUGAUCCAAGAGCAGUCGACUGUUGGAGGGGUUGCCUCUGUAGAGACCCGAGGCCAGGGUCCCCUGCGUAGAGCAUGGCACAGCUCAGCAUCACUUGCUGUUCCCACAGGCUUAUUACAGCAAACCCCCAGAGAAGAAGGAUGCCUCUUGUAUGUCACACUCCUUUCUGGUGCUUAUGACAGUAAUCAACAAUCUGCCAUGCGGAGCUGGCCUGUGGGAUCCAAUGAAUGGAGUUGAAUGCAAGGCAAAUGCCAGGAUCAUUUUCAUACCUGGUCAGCAGUGCACAUCCUUGUGAGUCAGUAAAUAGAGGCAUAAGUUAGGAUGCUGAGGGGGUGGGACAUAGCCCAUUAGGUCACAUUUCUGGUUAAAAAAGGAAAAAAACCCCGCCUUCUCUCCCACUGCACAUUCAAAUCAGAAACAUAUUUUGCUGCCUCCUAGUUUUGGCAGCCCAGUAAAUUAAUUUAAACCUGUCGUCAGAGCAGUCGGCCUGUUAUUUAUAACUAGGAGGCUUUGUGAAAAUCGCUCAAGCACUUUAAAGACCUAAAGGCAGUCGUUGCAAAAUUAGCACCGGGCUUGAUUUUCAGCAUUUCUGUGCCUGAGAAAUCUUUAUAUUGCUGCUGCAUCCGCCUAAUGGCCUCUGCUUAUUGAAGAAUCCCUAAGUUUGGAAGAGGCUAUAAAAAUAAACAGCAAUUUGUAAGUCAA